rnacentral:rRNA from 1 species
AAGCUCGUAGUUGGAUUUCUGGGUGGGAGCGGUCGGUGCGGUCCUCAGGAUUGCUACUCGUACCGUCUCUCGCCAUCCUUGGGUCGAUCCUGUCUGGCAUUAAGUUGUCGGGCAGGGGAUGCCCAUCGUUUACUGUGAAAAAAUUAGAGUGUUCAAAGCAGGCUUAUGCCGUUGAAUAUAUUAGCAUGGAAUAAUAAGAUAGGACUUUGGUACUAUUUUGUUGGUUUGCGCACCAAAGUAAUGAUUAAUAGGGACAGUUGGGGGUAUUCGUAUUCCGUUGUCAGAGGUGAAAUUCUUGGAUUUCCGGAAGACGAACUACUGCGAAAGCAUUUACCAAGGAUGUUUUCAUUAAUCAAGAACGAAAGUUAGGGGAUCGAAGAUGAUUAGAUACCAUCGUAGUCUUAACCAUAAACUAUGCCGACUCGGGAUUGGCGGUCGUUAAUUUUGACCCCGUCAGCACCGUAUGUGAAAACAAAGUCUUUGGGUUCCGGGGGGGAGUAUGGUCGCAAGGCUGAAACUUAA